UAGGGAUUGCAGUGUAAAGCCCGGAGCGCGUGUUGGGAUAGGGUUGGGAAAGCGAGGACUUGUAACGGAAAGCCCGACCCGUU
rnacentral:misc_RNA from 1 species